ensembl:snRNA U2 U2 spliceosomal RNA
AUCGCUUCUCAGCCUUUUGGCUAAGAUCAAGUGUAAAAUUUUACUUCGAGACAGGAUUUUGUGGUGUUGGCCAGGCUGGCCUUGAACUGGUAAUUGUCCUGCCUCAGUCUCUUGAGUAGCUGAGAUUACAGGUGCACCUGUCUCAUUUAAACUUUUUUAAAGUAAUUUUUGACAUAAUUUCAAGAAUUAGAAGCUGUAAGAAUAAUACAAAGAAUUCUGGUAUGUCUUUCACACU